GAUGGACGCUGGCGGCGUGCCUAAUACAUGCAAGUCGAGCGAACGGACGAGAAGCUUGCUUCUCUGAUGUUAGCGGCGGACGGGUGAGUAACACGUGGAUAGCCUACCUAUAAGACUGGGAUAACUUCGGGAAACCGGAGCUAAUACCGGAUAAUAUUUUGAACCGCAUGGUUCAAAAGUGAAAGACGGUCUUGCUGUCACUUAUAGAUGGAUCCGCGCUGCAUUAGCUAGUUGGUAAGGUAACGGCUUACCAAGGCAACGAUGCAUAGCCGACCUGAGAGGGUGAUCGGCCACACUGGAACUGAGACACGGUCCAGACUCCUACGGGAGGCAGCAGUAGGGAAUCUUCCGCAAUGGGCGAAAGCCUGACGGAGCAACGCCGCGUGAGUGAUGAAGGUCUUCGGAUCGUAAAACUCUGUUAUUAGGGAAGAACAUAUGUGUAAGUAACUGUGCACAUCUUGACGGUACCUAAUCAGAAAGCCACGGCUAACUACGUG
rnacentral:rRNA from 1 species